NGAGGAAGAAGGAGAGCGGGAGGGCGUUGCGCUCGGCCGGCCGGUUCAGCCGGAUGUGCCAGACCGGCACCGACCCGUCCGGCUGGACCACCUCUAGGGUUUCGAACCCCCGCCGCAGCUCCGCCUCCGCCGCCGCCGAGUCGCCGUCGCCCAUCGCCGGAAAGCGAAGUUCGCGUGAUUCGGGGGAUUUUAGGGUUUCUCGAUUUGGAGAGAAGAGGGAUGGAUGCCGAGUAGUCGGCGAUUGCUUCUUGUUUUCUUCUCCCUUGAUGGGAUUGGUCAAAUCAAAUGGGUAAAUUGCACCCUAGUCCCUCACCUCUCUGUCAAGCUUAACUUGGUCCUCAAAAUUUUAAAUUAAUUUGUUUUCUUUUAAAAAAAUAGUCCUUAGGCUAAAUUAUACUUUUUAAUUGAAGUAUCUUGCAAAUUCUUAUGGGUAAACUUCAAAUACCUCCGUGUUGUUUCACACUUUCUCACUUUAGUACCCUGUGAUUUAAUGUGUAUCAAGUUAGUCCAUAUGGUUUCACACUUUCUCACUUUAUCUCACUUUAGUAUCCUGUGGUUUAAAGUGCAUCAAGUUAGUACCCUAUGAUUUCAUUUUUCUUUCUUAAUUAUUUCUUUCACUAAUUUUUUUUGUUAAAUCAGUGAUAAAGUUAAAACUAAAGGAUGCUAAAAUGAAUAUUCGAUAAACCUAGAUAGGGUAUUUGAAGUUUUUUUAUAUAUAAUUUAACAAAAUAUUAACGGAGAAAAAAAAAAAAUCAGUGACAAUGUUAAAACUAAAGGGUAUUAAAGUAAAUAUUCGAUAAAGCUAGGUAGGAUAUCUGAAUUUUUUGUAUUUAAUUUAACAAAAUAUUAACAGAAGAGCCACGAAAAGAAAAAAAAAAAAACCAUAGGGUACUAAAUUGAUGCGCUUUAAACCACAUGGUACUAAAAUGAGAAAGGGCGAAACCACAUGUUACUAAAUUGAUAUAUUUUAAACCGCAAGGUACUAAAGUGAAAAGGUAAGAAACCACCGGGGUGGUAUUUGAA
rnacentral:lncRNA from 1 species